AGGCGGCUCCCAGCCCCUCCCCAGGCCGGCGGGGAAGGUGGGGCUGGGGGCGGGUUUGGGCUGCCAGACAGACACGAGAGCCCGCACACCUCCCUCUAAGGCGCCGUUACCUCCAGAGCAGCGGAAGGCUUCUUUUUGAGUUCCUC